UAUUGUUUGGACGGCCUCGAUGAGACCACAUUUAAAUUAAAAAAAAAUUGCCUUAAAAACAAUGAAAGUAAUUAUAUCUCUAUCCUAUGCAUUAUUAAUUUGUUCCUCGAUGAGACCACAUUUAAAUUAAAAAAAAAUUGCCUUAAAAACAAUGAAAGUAAUUAUAUCUCUAUCCUAUGCAUUAUUAAUUUGUUCCAUCCUAUUUGGAUGUGUUGAGAUUUCUCAUGCCCGACCACGCGAAGAAGUCAUAGUUGGGGAUAACUGUUGCAAAUUUGGCUGCGGUGCCAACUGUCAUGGUAAACCAUAGGCUUUUCCAUAUUUGAGCUGAUCAUCAUGCCGAGUCAUUAUCGAAAAAUUUAAUAAAAUAAUGUUAUAAAUUAUGUAGAGCUCAUGAGUCACGGGGUGCGGAAAUAAAUAUCUAUGAAAACAUUUUGCUAACUAAAACGCAUCCCAAGUGUAAAUGAAAGAAAAGAAAGAACAACCUUAUUCUUUGGAUGUAGUUUCAAUUCUCUAUCCGGCUCGAAGGACCAAUGUAAUUUGAGGAAAGAGUCCAAUCUACCUCUUCGAUAGUCAACUCUAUUCGGCUCGACUUGAGCAAUGUUUAGUGAGAAAGGAAUACAACCGGGGAAAGUGUCCAAUCUACCUCUUCGAUUGUCAACUCUAUUCGGCUCGACUGGAGCAAUGUUUAGUGAGAAAGGAAUACAAACGCUUCGCUUGGGUGUAGAUUCAAUUCCAGUUCUUUUUUUAAUUUAAAAAUAUGUUCCUUAAGUACUACUGAAACUAAUCUAACUUAACCUAAUCUUAUUAUCUAUUCUAUUAUUCUUAUCUAUUCUGAUAUUUAAUGGAGAACAUUGCAGGGUUGCUUGUCAUUUCAUUCAAGUGGUCUUGUACAUCUACUGAGCCCAUCGAUAUAUGUGCGUGUGCGGUUCAUAACCUUUAUUAUCUGCUACAUUAUCGUAUGCGUCAGCACACAAGAUCACCGACUUCUUCGCGAUAUUGUGGCAUUUUAUAGCGGCUGGGUUAAUAUGUAAUUUAAGAAUAUUUAUUGUUUAGAUCUACAAGGUUGCUCAUAUUCGAAGGACCCAUCUGGCUACGCCAUAACUUUUGACAGAGAUGUUACAUCGCUUAAUGACAUACCGCGUUUGAAGCGUCAGUCCAAGCAGAUUUUUACCAUGAACCAAUACACGCCACGCGAGCGCUCUGAAAUAGUCGAAAUUUACAUUCAACAGAAGAAGUCAAUUGAGAAAACUCAACGAGCUUUUAAAACAUUAACAAGUAAAAAAGCAGUAAGUUCGGCCGGGCCGAACUUUGAAUACCCUCCACCAUUUGGAACGAAUUAGAAAGAUUUUCAAAAAAAUAAAAUCCAAUAAAAAUUC